GACGAACGCUGGCGGCGUGCUUAACACAUGCACGUCGAACGGAAAGGCCCUGCUUUUGUGGGGUGCUCGAGUGGCGAACGGGUGAGUAACACGUGAGUAACCUGCCCUUGACUUUGGGAUAACUUCAGGAAACUGGGGCUAAUGCCGGAUAGGAGCUCCUGCUGCAUGGUGGGGGUUGGAAAGUUUCGGCGGUUGGGGAUGGACUCGCGGCUUAUCAGCUUGUUGGUGGGGUAGUGGCUUACCAAGGCUUUGACGGGUAGCCGGCCUGAGAGGGUGACCGGCCACAUUGGGACUGAGAUACGGCCCAGACUCCUACGGGAGGCAGCAGUGGGGAAUAUUGCACAAUGGGCGGAAGCCUGAUGCAGCAACGCCGCGUGCGGGAUGACGGCCUUCGGGUUGUAAACCGCUUUCGCCUGUGACGAAGCGUGAGUGACGGUAAUGGGUAAAGAAGCACCGGCUAACUACGUG
rnacentral:rRNA from 1 species